GCGGACGGGUGAGUAACGCGUGGGUAAUCUACCCGUGAGAGGGGGAUAACACCGUGAAAACGGUGCUAAUACCGCAUAACAUCGUCGACUCUCACGAGAAGGCGGUCAAAGGAGUAAUCUGCUCACGGAUGAGCCCGCGUCUGAUUAGCUAGUUGGCAGGGUAACGGCCUACCAAGGCAGCGAUCAGUAGCCGGCCUGAGAGGGUGACCGGCCACACUGGAACUGAGACACGGUCCAGACUCCUACGGGAGGCAGCAGUGGGGAAUCUUCCGCAAUGGGCGAAAGCCUGACGGAGCAACGCCGCGUGAGUGAGGAAGGCCUUCGGGUUGUAAAACUCUGUCAUCAGGGAAGAAACAAAUGACGGUACCUGAGGAGGAAGCCACGGCUAACUACGUGCCAGCAGCCGCGGUAAUACGUAGGUGGCGAGCGUUGUCCGGAAUUACUGGGCGUAAAGAGCGCGUAGGCGGGGAUUUAAGUCAGGAGUGAAAACUAUCGGCUCAACCGGUAGCCUGCUCUUGAAACUGGAUUUCUUGAGGGUAUGAGAGGAGAGCGGAAUUCCCAGUGUAGCGGUGAAAUGCGUAGAUAUUGGGAGGAACACCAGUGGCGAAGGCGGCUUUCUGGCAUACAACUGACGCUGAGGCGCGAAAGCGUGGGGAGCGAACGGGAUUAGAUACCCCGGUAGUCCACGCCGUAAACGAUGGGCACUAGUGUAGGAGGUAUCGACCCCUUCUGUGCCGUAGUUAACACAAUAAGUGCCCCGCCUGGGGAGUACGGCCGCAAGGUUGAAACUCAAAGGAAUUGACGGGGCCCGCACAAGCGGUGAGUAUGUGGUUUAAUUCGACGCAACGCGA
rnacentral:rRNA from 1 species